GACGAACGCUGCCGGCGUGCCUAAUACAUGCAAGUGGACGCAAGGGAACACACUGUGCUUGCACACCGUGUUUUCUUGAGUCGCGAACGGGUGAGUAACGCGUAGGUAACCUGCCUAUUAGCGGGGGAUAACUAUUGGAAACGAUAGCUAAUACCGCAUAAUAUUAAUUAUUGCAUGAUAAUUGAUUGAAAGAUGCAAGCGCAUCACUGGUAGAUGGACCUGCGUUGUAUUAGCUAGUUGGUAAGGUAAGAGCUUACCAAGGCGACGAUACAUAGCCGACCUGAGAGGGUGAUCGGCCACACUGGGACUGAGACACGGCCCAGACUCCUACGGGAGGCAGCAGUAGGGAAUCUUCGGCAAUGGACGAAAGUCUGACCGAGCAACGCCGCGUGAGUGAAGAAGGUUUUCGGAUCGUAAAGCUCUGUUGUAAGUCAAGAACGUGUGUGAGAGUGGAAAGUUCACACAGUGACGGUAGCUUACCAGAAAGG
rnacentral:rRNA from 1 species